GGGAUUAUGGCUCAGUGGUAGAGUGCUCACCUCGCAAGUGAGAGAUCCUGGGUUUGAUCCUC
rnacentral:tRNA from 1 species